AAGGGAGAAGAGGGUGUUCUCUGCUUUCUACAGUUAUGGAGUCCCUGUGGGGCCGCUGUUUCCCCUCCCAGGCUCUAAUGCUCAGGAUCCCCCUGCUCCUGGCUAUUCCCUCACCAAGCUUCCAGGCUAUGGCCGACCCCAGCUCCUCCCACACCCUGGAAAGGACCGUUGGGGACUCUGUCCAGCUGCACCUGAUCUCCUCCUUGUCCCCUAAUGUCCGAGAGGUUGAGUGGAGUUGGCAAUCUGAGUCCGAGAAACAACAGUUCCUGGUGUCCUGGAAGCCUGAUGACUCUGGUCCUGACUGGUAUGAGCUUGAAGGAAAAUUCAGGAGCAGUCUCUCCCUGACAGAGAUGGCAGUUUUGAGCAUCAGGAAUCUCAGUACGGAAAUGAGUGGAUGGUAUACAGCAAAUGUCAAAUUCCGCACAGGAAAAUCCCAGAAGGAGGUCUUUAGACUCUGUGUAUAUGAGCCCAUCCCCCACCCCCAGAUUGUGAUUCAUUCACCAAUCAACCCAGCAGGCUGGUGCCAGGUCAGCCUGGAGUGUGAGACCCCAGGAUCUACAGAGAACUGGACAGUGACCUGGCUGACUGAGGGCCUCCCCAGGGAGCUGGAGCAGAGCGGGGCUCUGAGGCCAGCCCCCAGCUCCAGGAAUGUAAACCUGCGCCUGCCCCUGAGCCAGGUGAAUGGCUACCUCACCUGUUUGGUCAGCAACCCUGUGGAGGAGAAGAAUGCCACCUUGCCCCUGCAGAGCAUCUGUCUGGUCAGGGGUUCUCCUGACCACAAAUGGCUUUGGAUAGGCGUCCUGUCCACGCUUCUAAUGAUGAGCCUGGCUGGUGGAGUGUACGUCUGCAUGAGGAAGAAGAUGCAGUCCAGGAGGGGCCGGCCCACUCUGCUGCCCACAGAGCCAGGCUCAGCCGGUGUUCCCCAGGCCCUUCCCACAGAGGAACCUGCUGGCCUGCAGACUGGUAGGGCCAACAGCCACUGCCGUCCCGACGUGGAGAUGAGCCUCCUGAGACACCACAAGAAUGACAUGGAGAGGAGUGGCGGCCAUCCCCUCAGCUCUGAGUGCACCCCAACAGUCUACACUAUCUACGAGAAGGUCCGGCUGAGCCGAGAGCCCCAGGAAGACACCUAGGUCGACGGAGAUGUCAGAGCAUGAGGGGCCUUGGCAAGAUCUGCCCCACCCUACACUCCACCUAAGGCCCCCCAAAUCCCUCCUUAGGUGGAGCGAAGACAAGCCCCCAGGUCUUCCUGCUGUACCCCCCAAGACAAUAGAGCAGCACCACAUGUCCCUGGGCUCCUCACAAAGUUCUUCUCACUUCACAGGUCGUGAACGUUGACCAUGCUGCCUGAGCGUCCAGCACGAGAGACUGGUCCUCGGGCGGGCAGUUGGAUUUCCGACCUUGACCCACUUAUUCCAGUGAGGGAAUACCCAUAGUCAGGCAAGACCUGCGGAGGCAUUUCUGGGAACAGAGAUGUUUUCCUGGAAUUGGGCGGGCCUUGGAUGGAGGACCGCCAGAUGUCACUGCCCAGCCCACCCCCAUGAACAGAGGAGGGAUGGCCCUGGGAAGGUCAAGUCCAGGGUCAGCUUCAGCUCUGCCAGAGGAAGGAAACAGCUCCUGAGCUCCAUCACCUGCAGGCUUACUGUAAACACCAGAAACGCACUAUCCCAAGGUCUCUCUUCAAAGUUCAAGCAAUUUCUCGACCCUUUUUUUUAUUACUUAAUAUAUGUAAAUUGCAAGAAAGUCAAAGGCAUGUCUCCUUGAAAUUAUAUUUCAUCAGUUUUGUUGCAAAUAGGAUCCUGUUCCUGUUGUAUCUUCUAAUUAGUUGUUAAAAUAACACAUAUUAAACACAUAUUGUCACAUCGCUGUUUCUCUACUGCUUGAAACAGCUUUUCAGUUGAUCCCUUUGAAUUUCUGGGCAAAGAACCAUAUUAUCGACAAAUAAUUAUAAUUUUUCCUUCCUUCUUUCCAAUUUUUAUGCUUCAUUCCUCUCCUGUUGUCUCACUAUGCUGGCAAAUACCUCCCAGACCAUGUUUAAGAGGAGUGAUUCUGAAGCACAUCCUUGUUUUGUUCCUAAUUUAUUGUAAGUGCUCCGAGGGCAUCCUUGUUAUUAGUAGAUUUCCUCCUAUUGAACUAUUCUUGUGGUAUUGGAAUAAAUCCCAGUUGAUGUAUUAUUCUCUUAAUGUG
ensembl:lncRNA uncharacterized LOC112912590